UGAGUAAUGUCUGGGAAACUGCCUGAUGGAGGGGGAUAACUACUGGAAACGGUAGCUAAUACCGCAUAACGUCGCAAGACCAAAGAGGGGGACCUUCGGGCCUCUUGCCAUCGGAUGUGCCCAGAUGGGAUUAGCUAGUAGGUGGGGUAACGGCUCACCUAGGCGACGAUCCCUAGCUGGUCUGAGAGGAUGACCAGCCACACUGGAACUGAGACACGGUCCAGACUCCUACGGGAGGCAGCAGUGGGGAAUAUUGCACAAUGGGCGCAAGCCUGAUGCAGCCAUGCCGCGUGUAUGAAGAAGGCCUUCGGGUUGUAAAGUACUUUCAGCGGGGAGGAAGGCGAUAAGGUUAAUAACCUUGUCGAUUGACGUUACCCGCAGAAGAAGCACCGGCUAACUCCGUGCCAGCAGCCGCGGUAAUACGGAGGGUGCAAGCGUUAAUCGGAAUUACUGGGCGUAAAGCGCACGCAGGCGGUCUGUCAAGUCGGAUGUGAAAUCCC
rnacentral:rRNA from 1 species